UGAUAAUUGAGGAAGCACUCACGGAAGAAAUUAUUAAAUAUUUUUAUUUACACCAAGAAAUCGUCGUUACUUAUCUGUCUGUAUCACCUUGAUAUAAGUUUGAUAUAUUUUGUCUGUAAUCGUGGUACAAUUAAUCUUCAUAACAAAUUACAGGCAUAAUAAAAAUCAGGUUUUAAAAUACACACAUAGGUAAUAUUUCAUAUCUACAUUCACUUUCUUU